rnacentral:lncRNA from 1 species
AUUGGUAUUUUUUUGACGUUGAAACGAUCAAAUAACACUAUUAGAAUAUUAAUUAAUAUUGAUGAAUAAAAAAAUGUUUUUAAUGUUAGUAUUGGGACUUAUUGACUGAUGUGUAGAUCAUGUACGUCUAUGUAUGAAAAUAUGUCAAAUAUAAGCAAACCAGCAGCAUAUUUAAAUAAAUGGUCUAAGCAAUCGAUUUGUUCAUUUUGAAAAAGAUGGUCCUUCAUCAAUUCUGUAAGCAAAUAGGAGGAAAAUAAUGAUAAUUAACGAUAUAUGGUAGACAAAGGGAUCUAAUGGAAAGUUUGGUUAUGGAUACUCAUUGAGAGAAUGUCAAAGAUUCAUCAACCAUGCAGAGAGAUCUACACUUAUCUUGCAAAGUCAUUGAACCAUUAUAUGUAAAGUUAUUGUUGUGUCUGUACUAAUACCAUAUAUUUUAAUGAAGUUCAUUUCUGGUCGUAUAUAAUAUUUAUCAUAAAUAUAAAUUAGGUAAACUUGAAA